rnacentral:lncRNA from 1 species
UGGUUUAAAUUUGGGAUCAUUUGGUCCAAUAGUUUAAAAGUUAUGGCUCUUCCAAGUUAGGUUCCAGAAAUAGGUGCUUUCUGUUUUUCUGGGACAGAACCUGGAACUUUGUUUAAUUGUCAUGUUUAACUUAUGAAUCUUACUGUGAUGUUUAAAGAUGAAAUAUGGACAAUUUCGUAAGCUUUCCAGAAUGUCAUCAUUUAUGUUUGUU